GAUUUGUAGCUCAGUGGUACAGCACUUGCCUACUAUGUGUGAGGUACUGGGUUUGAUUCUCAGAACCA
rnacentral:tRNA from 1 species